rnacentral:misc_RNA from 1 species
GAUGAAGAACGUAGCGAAAUGCGAUAAGUAAUGUGAAUUGCAGAAUUCAGUGAAUCAUCGAAUCUUUGAACGCACAUUGCGCCCGCCAGUAUUCUGGCGGGCAUGCUUGUUCGAGCGUCAUUACAACCCUCAGGCCCCCGGGCCUGGCGUUGGGGAUCGGCGGAAGCCCCCUGUGGGCACACGCCGUCCCUCAAAUACAGUGGCGGUCCCGCCGCAGCUUCCAUUGCGUAGUAGCUAACACCUCGCAACUGGAGAGCGGCGCGGCCAUGCCGUAAAACACCCAACUUCUGAAUGUUGACCUCGAAUCAGGUAGGAAUACCCGCUGAACUUAAGCAUAUCAAUAAGCGGAGGA